GACGAACGCUGGCGGCGUGCUUAACACAUGCAAGUCGAACGGAAAGGCCCUGCUUUUGUGGGCUGCUCGGGUGGCGAACGGGGGAGCAACACGUAAGUAACCUACCAUUGACUUUGGGAUAACUUCAGGAAACUGGAGCUAAUACCGGAUAGGAGCUCCUGCUGCAUGGUGGGGGUUGGAAAGUUUCGGCUGUUGGGGAUGGACGAGCGGCUUAUCAGCUUGUUGGUGGGGUAGUGUCUUACCAAGGCUUGGAAGGGUAGCCGUCCUGAGAGGGUGACCUGCCACAUUGGGACUGAGAUGCGGCCCAGACUCGUACGGUAGGCAGAAGUGGAGAGUAUUGCAUAAUGGGAUGAAGCCUGAUGUAGCAACGCCGUGUGCGGUAUGACGGCCUUCGGGUUGUAAACUGCUGUCGCCUGUGACGAAGCGUGAGUGACGGUAAUGGGUAAAUAAGCACCGGCUAACUACGUG
rnacentral:rRNA from 1 species